rnacentral:lncRNA from 1 species
UCACCCUGUUUCUUGAGUAGAUAUGUACCUAGCAAAAGAAGUACCUAUCAUCCAAAUUAACAUGCCACGGUCCAAAUUAACUUAACCUUUGCUUUCCCAGUUAUCUAGGGGUCCGAAUUAACAUGUACCUAGUUUUUAUUGAGGUUUACUUUUCUAGAGAUUAUCCAGUUGUCUUUUUAAUACUAAUUAUUUAGCAAAUGCAAUUUUGGUUCCCAUUUUGUGUUUUGUUUUAGCCGACGGUGAAAUGAGGCAGAUUUUCCUCCUUGUUGGCUAGCAAGUUGCACCUGAUUUUCAUAAGAGCGUGGCGUGCUAGUUAAAUUGAAUGAUUGCAUUAUAGUCAACUUUCAAGUGAAAUGUUCUGUUUCAGUUCAUAAUUCCAUUGAAUCUGGUUUAUUGAAGGCCAUCAAGUGGUUUUCUCAAUAAUAUUAAAUGGUUAGCCAAUAUACAUCAAUUUCCUCUUUCUAUGUACUGUGUAGCCGACGAUUACAUGUGGCUGAUCAUCAUCUUGAUUUGUUCAGUUUGACCUGAUUGUCAGAGGAGUUUGGAGCACUGCUUGUUAGAUUGAAUGGAGCGAUUGCAUUACAGUCAACUUGUGAGUGAAAUGUUUUAUGUCGCAACUUAUUCUCCAUGUGUGCAUUGCAUCUGGUUAGGUAUUGAAUUGCCCUGUUAUAGACUUUUCUCUCUGUAUCUGAUGCAGGGCCAUGUCAAGUGCCAUUUCUCGAAAGUAGAUUGCACAAUUUGUCACAGCACGUAUGGUGUGCCAUUCCUGCAGGGUGAUUCGUCCUCAGUUGCUCACAUCACUUGUAGGUCCCAUUAUCUGUUGCAUGCAUGCCCCCACUGGCAUCUGCACGCGUGUGUGAUAAAUAUACCCAUUGUGGCUGCAAUAUGUUUUUUGUUGAUGUAUACAAAGUUAUGAUCGAGAAGCUCCAACAGUUAAUGGUUGCAUAGAUUCAUAUUUCUGUGAAUAUCCUUUUGAGCAGAGGUGGCUACCGUGCACUUUGAUGCUGAAAUUACUAAGUCCUUCUAGUCAGUGUUUG